GAUGAACGCUGGCGGCGUGCCUAACACAUGCAAGUCGAGCGAGAAGUAAAGAAAUGAAGCUUCGGUAGAUUUUCAUUAUGGAAAGCGGCGGACGGGUGAGUAACGCGUAGGCAACCUGCCCUGUACAGGGGGAUAGCCACCCGAAAAGGUGAUUAAUACCCCAUGAUGCAAGAGAUACACAUGUAUCACUUGUCAAAGAUUUAUCGGUAUGGGAUGGGCCUGCGUCUGAUUAGCUAGUUGGUAGGGUAACGGCUUACCAAGGCAACGAUCAGUAGCCGACCUGAGAGGGUGAUCGGCCACAUUGGAACUGAGACACGGUCCAAACUCCUACGGGAGGCAGCAGUGGGGAAUAUUGCACAAUGGGGGAAACCCUGAUGCAGCAACGCCGCGUGAAGGAAGAAGGCCUUCGGGUUGUAAACUUCUGUCCUAGGGGAAGAAACAAAUGACAUACCCUGGAGGAGC
rnacentral:rRNA from 1 species